rnacentral:tRNA from 1 species
UAGUUCAGUUGGUAGAGCAUGAGACUCUUAAUCUCAGGGUUGUGGGUUCGAGCCUCAU